CAGCAGCCGCGGGAAUACGUAGGGUGCAAGCGUUAAUCGGAAUUACUGGGCGUAAAGCGUGCGCAGGCGGUUUGUUAAGACAGAUGUGAAAUCCCCGGGCUCAACCUGGGAACUGCAUUUGUGACUGGCAAGCUAGAGUAUGGCAGAGGGGGGUGGAAUUCCGCGUGUAGCAGUGAAAUGCGUAGAUAUGCGGAGGAACACCGAUGGCGAAGGCGGCCCCCUGGACAAAGACUGACGCUCAGGUGCGAAAGCGUGGGGAGCAAACAGGAUUAGAUACCCCAGUAGUCCCUGUCUCUUAUAC
rnacentral:rRNA from 1 species